AUCUAGUUGAUGAGUCCCAAAAUAGGACGAAACGUGCGUCUAAUUGGAU
rfam:Schistosoma margrebowiei strain Zambia genome assembly, scaffold: SMRZ_scaffold0001229